AAACCAACAGGGAUUGCCUUAGUAGCGGCGAGUGAAGCGGCAAAAGCUCAAAUUUGAAAUCUGGCACUUUCAGUGUCCGAGUUGUAAUUUGAAGAAGGUAUCUUUGGGUCUGGCUCUUGUCUAUGUUUCUUGGAACAGAACGUCACAGAGGGUGAGAAUCCCGUGCGAUGAGAUGUCCCAGACCUAUGUAAAGUUCCUUCGAAGAGUCGAGUUGUUUGGGAAUGCAGCUCUAAGUGGGUGGUAAAUUCCAUCUAAAGCUAAAUAUUGGCGAGAGACCGAUAGCGAACAAGUACAGUGAUGGAAAGAUGAAAAGAACUUUGAAAAGAGAGUGAAAAAGUACGUGAAAUUGUUGAAAGGGAAGGGCUUGAGAUCAGACUUGGUAUUUUGUAUGUUACUCUCUCGGGGGUGGCCUCUACAGUUUACCGGGCCAGCAUCAGUUUGAGCGGUAGGAUAAGUGCAAAGAAAUGUGGCACUGCUUCGGUAGUGUGUUAUAGUCUUUGUCGAUACUGCCAGCUUAGACUGAGGACUGCGGCUUCGGCCUAGGAUGUUGGCAUAAUGAUCUUAAGUCGCCCGUCUU
rnacentral:rRNA from 1 species